AUACGAAGGGGGCUAGCGUUGCUCGGAAUGACUGGGCGUAAAGGGCGUGUAGGCGGUUUGUACAGUCAGAUGUGAAAUCCCCGGGCUUAACCUGGGAGCUGCCUUUGAGACGUAUUGACUAGAGUGUGAGAGAGGGUUGUGGAAUUCCCAGUGUAGAGGUGAAAUUCGUAGAUAUUGGGAAGAACACCGGUGGCGAAGGCGGCAACCUGGCUCAUGACUGACGCUGAGGCGCGAAAGCGU
rnacentral:rRNA from 1 species